rnacentral:lncRNA from 1 species
AGGCCUCAGGAAACACAGUCAUGGCAGAAGGCAAAGAGGAAGCAGGCACAUCUCACAUGUCCAGAGCAGGAUGAAAGGUCUCAUGAGAACCCACUCACUAUGGUGACGAAGGAGGAUGAUGCUAACCACUCCAGUGAUCCAACCACCUCCCACCAGGACCCACCUCCAACACGGGGGAUUACAACUGAACAUGAACGCAGAGCCAAACCAUAUCACUAGCUCUGCCUGGAGACAUUAGAGACAGGUUCCCAGCGGGGAGGCUUCCUUAGCCCAGAGAUGAAUUAAGAACAGCAUUGACUGGAUGGUGCUGUGGUUUCAAUGUCCCCUCCCGAACUCACAUCAAAACUUCAUCACUAGUGUGGCAGUGUCCUUUCAGAGGUAGUGGGAUCAUGAAAGCUCUGCCCUCAGGAGUAGAUUAAUCCAUUCAUGAACUAAUGGGUUAAGGGAUCAGUGUGGUAUAAAGACGAACUAAGACCUGAGCUGGCACAUUAGCACACUCAGUCCCUCUCCAUGUGACACCCUACACCACCGCAGGACACUGUUUAGUCCCCACCACCAAGAAGCCUCUCACCAGAUGCAGCACCUUGGAUUUCUCGGCCUCCAGAGCUGUAAGAAAUAAAUUCCUUAUAAACAACCCACUUUCAGGCAUUCUGCUAUAAGCAGCAGAAAACGGACUAAUACACACGCCUUGUCUCCAACUAGAAGCUCCUCCACCCACUAAUUAUGGACUGUUUUACUACUUGGCUUCCAGGAGGGAGGGAACUGUAUGAAAAGAACAGAGAUGCAUAACUACAUACAGAAAUGGUUCCCAAGGGGGCUGAGAGCUGUGUUAAAUGUGAGCUUUAAAUGUUUUUUAAUGAUUUUUAUCCUCAGAAAACUUGGUUCAAAUGCAGUCUUGCUGGAUGCAUUUGCUGGGUGUCCAACAAGUGAAACAAAUGAAAAUAAUUAUUACCCUGGGGCUUCACUGACUGAGAGUGAAGGAGGCUUUGGCUGCUGGAAAUGUGGAGGACCCCAGAGACCCUCUGCGGCAGUGGUUCCCAGUGUUUUGUCUUUGUUCUUCAAGCAGCAUAAUCAUUCCUUUAAACAACAUUUUAGGUGAACAUGUGAAGCGGGGUAACCCCAAACUCUGCCCACCUAUCUCCAGGGACAGUCUAGAGCUCUGGGGGCCUGGGUGAGCAUCUCUGACCUAGACCAACCAAAGAUCUUAACCAGACCCAGAGAGCAGCCACAGCUAAUAUGGGCAGGGUGACAGAGAGGAUAACCUGUCACGUGUAUGCUUCCCCACACCUGAGGCUCCAGCAUGCAUGAGAGAGAGCCCUGAGAGACACGCUAUGGAUCAUAUAACAAUCCUGAAACAAAAGAGAUGCAGAGAACUUAUUCCACAUGUCAAUGUUAAAGGACGCAGAGAACUUAUUUCAGAUGUCACUGUUAAAUGAACCAUGGUGGCAGUUUCUGCCCAUCAGGUUCCCAUAUGUAGAGACUAAUGAAAUUCCCCUACCCGAAGCUCUAGAAAAGUUCAAGAUCCACACCAUCUGGGAAGGGUGAAAGCUGCAUUGAAGUCUUCUUAGGAGCAGGAGGAGCACUCAGCCCUCGGGGCCCAGGACUGUGGAGAGGACGGGGCGCCCGCUGGCUGUGUCACCACAGCACACCCCGGGCUUCCAGGAACAGGAAGGGAGCUAAAGAUGGGUCAGCACAAAUAUUGAAUUCACACUAUAUGCUGUGGCCUGCAACAGAUACUGAGGAUGCCAGCAUGGAUAUGAGACCCAGUAAUUAGCCUGGAAGAGCAGAGAAUGUACUGAGGGAUGAUUUGUAACAAUACAACUGCUAUGUUAUGUUCUCCUGCUAUAACAGAGGCAAGAGCUCAGUGUUCUGGGGAUGCAGGCGAGGAAUUGUGUGGCCUGGAUAAAUCUAGGAAGACUUCAUGGAAGAUGACGCAUUUAAGCUAGAUCUUGAAGAAAGAUAGCAAGCUUUCUGUCUAGUGUAAGGGAAACUCAUUUCAGUCUGCAGAAACAGUGUAAGCUGGGGUGUGGAGGAUGAGAGAUGAGGGCAGCUGGUCCAGGCAGACAACAGAACCAGUGAGAGCAGCGGUUGCUGCUACUGUAUCACCCCCCUUGGCAGUAGUAUGGCCCUGACUGCUGAGAGGCAGGCCAGCUCAGGGGCGUCUCGACUCCCCAAACCAGUGCUGAACAUUCCCUGAUCAACCUGGCUACCAAACCUUCUUCUGAAAAUGAGAAGUAGCUUGUUAACUAUCAGAGCUUUCUCACAUAAGAAUGGGCUUCAGGAGAGGUAGUGAGGUCCCUGUGGGAGGAGGUAUGUAAGUAAAAGUGAUAGGAUAGGCCCUUUUUUCCAGGCUGUGGUAGAAGGGAGGUUUGGGACCAAAGAAGGUUGGCCUAACAUACCCCGCUCAGUUUUCUUCCAGAGCUAAGAGGCCAUGAUUCCCUUUGAAAGUAGAAUUUCCUGUUCUUCUAUGAGGAAUGGAAAAACAUGUCUAGAGAGGUUAAGUGACUUGCCCCAGGCUACAAAGAAAGCUAUCCGAAUCAUUGUCCAAACAUUUCACUUGCUACAAUCUGAUCUCAAGUGGACUUUUAGACAGGUGAGAACAGAUGCUGGCUCUUCUAUCUCGGCAACCUCUUUACCAAUUCUGCAAGCAUCAGACAGCAGCUGGAUCAUACAUACAUAUGCCUCACGUACGCAGCUUCAGCUCUGCCAAGCAGGGCCAUGCCCAAAUGUGAGCAUAAUAUGUUUAUGUGGACCUUGAGCAAGACACUGUGAGUUGAGUCCUGACUUCACAACUGCAAGCAGGAGGUCACAGAAGCUUUGCAGAUAAAAUGUUAAUCUCAUACCUUGGCCCAUAUCAACACAUGCUAAUCAGAUGGGUCAGGCUGUGCCGUUUCCCUCUGCAAGCGGGACUUGUUGUGACUAAUUGAGGGGUUUGUAGUGAACAUGUCCCUUUACCUCCUGCAGUCCUGGCAUCCUAAAGCAAACCUUGGAUCUAUCAACACCAGUGAUACCGAGAAGCCGAUAUUCUCUUCACUCUGUUCUCCUUCCCAGCAGCCAUCACGCCUCUGGGCUACAAUCCUGCCUCCAGAAGUCCCAGCUCAAUUCACAAAGAUGUUCUGGGAAGGAAGUCAAUCUUCCCAAAGUUCUUGAGAGCCUGGGACAUGCCAUUUGCGCAGAACUCUAGAGUAUGCAACGUGGCUUCACACACAUCACUCCAUUCGGACCCAGGGCUCUGGUACAGGUGUCAUCCAAACCUUCUACUGCACACACGUAGCAAAGCGAGGCCCAGGGGUGAUGCCCUCUUGAAGUCACAGAGAGAAUAAGUGGAGCAGCAAGAAAUCGCAGCUCAGUUUUCUGACCCUGAAGCCUGGGUUCUCUUCUGCAUAUACCAGAUGGCCUGAAUCCCAUAUAGAUCUGAUUAGUAUCAGCCACAUGGUAGGCAAUGCUUGUUGCACUGAAGUCAGCCAUUAGAAUGUCGUCACUUUGAGGUAAGUCAUUGACACAUCCAGUAAGCUACUUUUUAGGAUUAUUCUUAGGGAAAAAAAACAGAGCCUGAAGAAAACAGAAUUUUCACCCACUUAUUAUGAGAGCUAGGAGAAGUUCAGAGGCAAGACAGAGUGAAAGGAAACUACCUUUGUCUCAGGAAGCCUGGAGUUGGAAAGGAAGACAAGGAUGUGGACAAGGGAAAAGCAGGGAAGGGAGAAGGGAAUACA